rnacentral:tRNA from 1 species
AAUGGUAUGGCUCAGUGGUUUAGAGCACUGGCUGCUCGUCCAGAGGUUUUGGGUUUAAUUCCCAGCACCAACA